UGGUUGACUUUGGCUGUUUAAAGGAAAGGUGAAAGAGAUUUUAUUCAAACAGAAAGAGUAAAAUGUGUCGAAAAAAGAGACGAAAGGCAAAAAGAAACGAAAGAAAGAUAAGAUUAAAUAUUAACUUUUCCCUUUCUCAAUUUGUCUUGCCUUUUGAAUUUUUGUGCGCAUUUCAAAUUGCAAACAGACCCAUCUAUCGAAAUUAAAAUUAUUUUCAUAAUUUUGCCUCCUUAAAAAGCUUUUUUUUGACGUUUAAUUGUGACGCUUUAUAUUAAUUGCAAUUAUUUUACAUAUAACUAACUCUUUAUGACUGGAAUUUCCUCCGCUCCAAGUAAAUUUGUUGCAAUUUUUUUCCCCUUAAUCAACAAUUUACCAUUUGGUUUGCCCUUUCAAUAAUGUUACUUCAACAGCAACAAUAAACCAGCAAACCACGAGAAUGUUUCAAGUAUAUUUUUCAAUUUAAUCGAUUCUCUGGUUUUGAAAAUUGACAUUAACAAUGAAACCAUUUUUCAUUUAAAUAAAUUAAUGUCUAUUAUUUGAUGGUCACAUCAUAAAUAUAAACAAAGGAAAAAUAUGUGAAUGAGAAGAACAAAAGGAAAUCAAGUUUGCUGUCUCAUGGAUAACAUUAUCUGGUUCCAUCUAUUUUUUCCCAUUAUACCAAACAUAGUGAUAAGCUUGUGUACAUGUGUACCAAUGAAGAUACAAUUGAUGUAAGGCGUGGGUCAUUGUCCAGGUUAAAGGCUGAUAGGCUGGUGAAAGGCCAUUAUCAUACUCAUCAGCCAAAAUCAUAACAUUAAGACAGGAAAAAGUCAACUGCAAAAUCAAUAGAAGGAGCAAAGAACCAGAUUAAAUGAAGAAGCUGCCAAAUCAAGGUGAAUCUCUAAUAGGAAGACAAUUGGAAUGGAUCAGCCCAAACAACAACCUUGAUAUUAUUCACCAAUUUUGAUGAAUAAUUUCUAUUUCUUCCUCUCAUCAUCAUUAUCGCCAUCAUCAUCACCAUACCUGAUCAAUAUAUUAAUAAUAUUAAUGGGAUAGAGAGAGAGAUGUGAAACUGGUUCAUUGAGGAAAAAAAGAAAUGAAGACAGAAGAAGAUGUAUUAUAAUUAAAAGUUAAUGUAAAGCUUGAAGAUAAUACAUCAAAAGAUAGGAAUAAUGAUGAUGCUGAAAAGCAAAACCAUCAAGUUACAUGUAACUUUAACGUUACAGCAAAAAAAAUGCGAUUGAAGGAGCGUUGAAGGCGUGUAAAUAAUUGUGAGAUGUUAGUUGAUUAUGAUGAUGAUGAUGAUGAUAUGUGAGUGCUUAACUAGACUUAAGGUUAGCAACUUUGGUUUUAUCACAUCACGAGGUUUAAUUAAAUUGAUGCUGGACUUACCGUCUCCAUCUUAAUGAUAUAUAACCUGCAAGGCAUUUGGUUUGUUAACAUUAACGCAUGUAAGACAUGUAUCAAGACUCAAGACGAUUGAUACUCACACACUUGAACCACUUGAUGCUUUUAUUCCCAUUGAAAUUAAUACCUAACCAGAGGCUCAACCACACACCAACACAUUUACAUACAGAGUAAUUAAUCAAUCUAUUCAGUGUUCACCAACAGUAAAUGAUGGUUCAUUCGGGUGUAAACUUCCUACCAAGUAUCUCUUCAAAUCAGGUUGCAUUCAUUUGGACAACAUAUUGUAUUUGUAUCAACUAUUUGGCCUAGAAUUCUGGUUCAACCAUUUCUUUUAAAUAUAUACAAUUUAACAAUCAUAUGACUAGAUUAUUAUAGCUCAUAUUAACCCUUGUAAUAAUAAUGUGGUUAAUAAUUGUUAGGAAACUGACUGGACUGCAGCCAACAAAUAACUGAAAGUAUUAAAUGUAUAUAAAGAGGUUCUUGAACAACCUUGAAUGUAAUGCUGAAAACAUUUCAAACGCUGUAAUCAACGUUUAUUUUGUACCUUUUCUUGUAAUUCUGGUCAAUUAUCACAUUAAUAAUUAUCAAAUUAGCUAUCAUAUAACCAACAAUCAGUUAAUUGCCAUUAGAGAGCCAUGUUUAAAAAUGUACAUUCAGUUAUUACUUUAGGUUUUGUUUCUUGGCUGCCUUCUCGGUUUUGCCUUUUGCUUUCACUUUUUUUACAGGUUAAAUUAUUCUUACGUUAAAUUGUUUCUUCUCAAUUUACAUUUAUCAUUGAAUUAAUGUUUUCAUUUUUAUCCAUUCAUUGUAAAUAUAACCUUAAAUAGUCAAUAAUCAUCCGGAUCAAGUUGAUUUGUGAUAAAAUCAAGUACAGAUGAUUUUUUGUAAGUAUUGUUUAUAUCUGAUAGCAAUGGGUAACAUCAGUACCAGGUGAUAUUGAAAAAGAGCUUAAUUAGUGUAAUUGUAAUGAUUUACCUUAAUUUCAACAAUAAUAUAACCUUCACUGUUAUCAAUUUACUAUUUCUUUAA